AUUGAACGCUGGCGGCAUGCUUUACACAUGCAAGUCGAACGGUAACAGGCCGCAAGGUGCUGACGAGUGGCGAACGGGUGAGUAAUGCAUCGGAACGUGCCCAGUCGUGAGGGAUAACGCAGCGAAAGCUGCGCUAAUACCGCAUACGAUCUAUGGAUGAAAGCGGGGGACCGUAAGGCCUCGCGCGAUUGGAGCGGCCGAUGUCAGAUUAGGUAGUUGGUGGGGUAAAGGCGCACCAAGCCAACGAUCUGUAGCUGGUCUGAGAGGACGACCAGCACCACUGGGACUGAGACACGGCCCAGACUCCUACGGGAGGCAGCAGUGGGGAAUUUUGGACAAUGGGCGCAAGCCUGAUCCAGCAAUGCCGCGUGCAGGAAGAAGGCCUUCGGGUUGUAAACUGCUUUUGUACGGAACGAAACGGCUCUGGUUAAUACCUGGGGCUAAUGACGGUACCGUAAGAAUAAGCACCGGCUAACUACGUGCCAGCCGCCGCCGUAA
rnacentral:rRNA from 1 species